AUUGAACGCUGGCGGCAUGCUUUACACAUGCAAGUCGAACGGUAACAGGGUGCUUGCACCGCUGACGAGUGGCGAACGGGUGAGUAAUGCGUCGGAACGCACCGAGUAAUGGGGGAUAACGCAGCGAAAGCUGUGCUAAUACCGCAUACGCUCUGAGAAGGAAGGCGGGGGACCUUCGGGCCUCGCGUUAUUCGAGCGGCCGACGUCUGAUUAGCUAGUAGGUGAGGUAAGAGCUCACCUAGGCGACGAUCAGUAGCGGGUCUGAGAGGAUGAUCCGCCACACUGGGACUGAGACACGGCCCAGACUCCUACGGGAGGCAGCAGUGGGGAAUUUUGGACAAUGGGCGCAAGCCUGAUCCAGCCAUGCCGCGUGUCUGAAGAAGGCCUUCGGGCUGUAAAGGACUUUUGUCAGGGAGGGAAUCCUUAGCGCUAAUACCGUUGAGGGAUGACAGUACCUGAAGAAUAAGCACCGGCUAACUACGUGCCAGCAGCCGCAGUAACAC
rnacentral:rRNA from 1 species